GCGUGGGUGAUGAAGGCCUUAGGGUCGUAAAGCCCUUUCGCCGGGGAAGAUAAUGACGGUACCCGGUAAAGAAGCCCCGGCUAACUCCGUGCCAGCAGCCGCGGUAAUACGGAGGGGGCUAGCGUUGUUCGGAAUGACUGGGCGUAAAGCGCGCGUAGGCGGGCUGGAAAGUCAGGGGUGAAAUCCCGGGGCUCAACCUCGGAAUGGCCUUUGAAACUCCCAGCCUUGAGUUCGAGAGAGGUGAGUGGAAUUCCGAGUGUAGAGGUGAAAUUCGU
rnacentral:rRNA from 1 species